UUAGUACGAGAGGAACACUUCGUCCAGAUACUUGGUUAAUGCCGUUGUCUGAAAAGACAGUACGGCGAAGCUACCAUCUGCUGGAUUACGGCUGAACGCCUCUAAGCCGGAAUCCAUGCUGGAUAAGCAGUGUUGUACACCGUGCUCAAUGCUACAAGAAAAAGGCUAGGUCAGGCUUCGGCCUGACCAAAAUUCAAGCUGCUAUACCUCUGGCUGCAUUGACUUGUGGUCAGAGUGUAUGGUGAUCAUAGCAAUUGCAAGUAUUGGGCUCGAUAAAUCCUUUGAAGACGACUUAAUUGCAUCCGGGUAUUGUAAGUGUUGAGAGUAGGCUUAGUCUUACGAUCCACUGAGAUUCAUCCCGUGUUGCGCCGAUUUGU
rnacentral:ncRNA from 1 species